rnacentral:rRNA from 1 species
UUUUGGUGGGCGUCGACCGGCGCACGGGUGAGUAACGCGUAUCCAACCUGCCCACCACGUUGGGGAUAACCUUGCGAAAGUAAGACUAAUACCCAAUGAUAUCCCACGAAGGCAUCCGAAUGGGAUUAAAGAUUUAUCGGUGAUGGAUGGGGAUGCGUCUGAUUAGCUUGUUGGCGGGGUAACGGCCCACCAAGGCGACGAUCAGUAGGGGUUCUGAGAGGAAGGUCCCCCACAUUGGAACUGAGACACGGUCCAAACUCCUACGGGAGGCAGCAGUGAGGAAUAUUGGUCAAUGGGCGAGAGCCUGAACCAGCCAAGUAGCGUGCAGGACGACGGCCCUAUGGGUUGUAAACUGCUUUUAUAAGGGAAUAAAGUGAGUCUCGUGAGACUUUUUGCAUGUACCUUAUGAAUAAGGACCGGCUAAUUCCGUG